rnacentral:rRNA from 1 species
UACGGGGGGGGCAAGCGUUGUUCGGAAUUACUGGGCGUAAAGGGCUCGUAGGCGGCCAACUAAGUCAUACGUGAAAUCCCUCAGCUUAACUGGGGAACUGCGUGUGAUACUGGAUGGCUUGGAUUUGGGAGAGGGAUGCGGAAUUCCAGGUGUAGAGGUGAAAUGCGUAGAUAUCUGGAGGAACACCGGUGGCGAAGGCGGCAUCCUGGACCAAUAUUGACGCUGAGGCGCGAAAGCGUGGGGAGCAAACAGG